GGUAGAAUGGCCGAGAAUAGGUGAUAAAUUGUAAAUUUAUUUAGGGGAAUAGAAUCUCUUCUACCA
rnacentral:tRNA from 1 species